UCCGAUAUGGGGUAACGGCUAACCUAUUCCGCUUUCACCGGAAAGCCCCGAGUUCGACUCUCGGUAUCGGAG